GACAGAGGGUGCAAACGUUGUUCGGAUUUACUGGGCGUAAAGCGCGUGUAGGCGGCUUUGCAAGUCGGAUGUGAAAGCCCACAGCUCAACCGUGGAAGUGCAUCCGAAACUGCAUGGCUCGAGUCUCGGAGAGGAAGGUGGAAUGCUUGGUGUAGAGGUGAAAUUCGUAGAUAUCAAGCAGAACACCUGCGGCGAAGGCGGCCUUCUGGACGAUGACUGACGCUGAGACGCGAAAGCGUGGGGAGCAAACAGG
rnacentral:rRNA from 1 species